CGAUUUCUACACUCAACUUUGCCGUUGGUGUUGAUGGGAAUCCACAACCUUGUUACUUCCGCUAUUUUUGGAUUGAGGUAAUAGUAUUUACGUUAUUUUAUACAUGUGAUUUACCUCUGUUAUAAAUCCUCGAGUACUGUGUGUGUCAGCAUACCGAUCCAGAGAUGACACUUAAGCACAGAGACUUGAUCCAUUCGGGUCGGGUCGCUACAGGACCCGCCCUUCUUCACGUCUCGUGCAACAAGGGUGAUCGACGCGGACUACCGUUGCCUGGUGGGCGUCGUGCUCUUCAACCACUCGGAGGUGGGCUUCGCCGUGAAGCCCAGCGACCGCGUCGCACAGAUGAUCGUCCAGGUGAUCGUGACGCCGGAGGUCGCCGAGGUAGAGGACCUCGAUACCAUCGUUUGGGGGGAGGGAGGAUUGGGGUCCACCAGCAUCUGAACUCCGAGCCUUGGUAGAUACAUCUAGAGAAGUGGUAUGUUUAGGCUGCUGGUGGAACACUAGGAAAGGUACCCACCUUUGGUUGUGUGCGUUUACUGUUAAAUGGAAUCACGUGAUCUCUUGCAGUUGAGAUGUUCAAUGUUGCAUCCAUGAAUGGUGCAAGUGUUAAUAUGGUCCUGUGACCUUAAUUUAUUUUGCACUGGACG